UACGUAGGGUGCGAGCGUUGCCCGGAUUUAUUGGGCGUAAAGGGCGCGCAGGCGGCUACGCACGUCCGUUGUGAAAUCGCUCGGCUCAACUGGGCGGGGUCAGCGGAUACGGCGUAGCUGGAGCAAGCUAGGGGGCAAUGGAAUUCCCGGUGUAGUGGUGGAAUGCGUAGAUAUCGGGGAGGAACACCAGUGGCGAAGGCGGUUGCCUGGAGCUUUGCUGACGCUGAGGCGCGAAAGCGUGGGGAGCGAGUCCGG
rnacentral:rRNA from 1 species